AUGUAACAUUAGUCGCUAUUCAAGAUCCUUCUGCCUUAACUGUGCUUGGUUGUGCGAGCCUUUGACAGGGUAUUAGAAAGCACUGGGUACACAGGAGAGAAGAUUGCAAUCAUUUUAAUUUGAAGUAGCAACACUGCAACAUGCCAGAACUUAUACAUGACUGAAUUAGUCAGUAAAUGUAUGUGUCCAAUUACAAAUGUUUGAGGGAUAGCCUGGUCUAAUGGUCUCGGGUGUACACAUUGGAAACUGCAAUACCAACUUGCAGAGACUGAAACCCAGCAGGCUGGACAUGGUGGUUCAUGCCAGGAAUCUCAGCACUUGAGAGCUAGAAGCAGUGGAAUCAGAGGUCUAGGUUACCCUCUGAUACACAGCAAGUUUGAGGCUAGCCUGGGCUACAUAAGACACUGGCUUUUUUUGUUUUUUGUUUUUUUAUGCCCAGCAGAGUGGGAUCGGCUCCUGUUAUUUAUGCCUCUCUGGAGUCCUGAUGACCAGCUCGAUGAGGGAGAUUGUCACUGAUGGCGUCUGACUCCUAGAAACUGCUCAGCUGGUCUUUGAAGGAUAGUCUCCAAAGGGCAAUAUCAAGGAAGGGUUUUAGACAAACUUCUCCACAUUCCAAGAAGGAAAUCCGUGCACAGAGCCCCUUCCUUGGGCGCCCUCUUCGGGGUCUCGGUACCUUCCCUUCUAAUUGGCUCUGACUGUAAAUGCUUGUUUACUGCACUGUGAUGUAAGAAGGCCCAGUGCAAUGUUUGAAUGUACCUCCUCGAUCCUAACCAGGUUCACGGGUCAGCAACAAAUGUUGAGAGUCACUGUGGUGGUUUGACUAAGGUUUGGCCCUUAUAGAUUCAUGUGUUUGAAUGCUUGGCCAUAGGGAGUGGCACUAUUAAGAGGUGUGGCUUUAUUGGAGGAGGUGUGGCCUUGUUGGAGGAAGUGUGUCACUGUGUAGGUGGGCUUUAAGGUCUCUUAUGCUUAGGCGCUGCCCAGUGCAGAAGACAGUCUCCCCCUGACUGCCUUUGGAUCGAGAUUUAGAAGGCUUAGCUCCUCUAGCAUCAUGUCUGCCUGCAUGAUGCCUUGCUUCCCACCAUGAUGAUAAUGGAUGGAACCUUUGAAACUGUAAGCUAGCCCCAAUUAAAUGUUUGCCUUUAUAACUGUUGCCUUGGUCGUGGUAGGGUCACAGCAAUAAAACUAACUAAGACAGUCAGUUUGGCUCACCAGGAAUCCCCACCACACUCGUGUUCUCUUGUCAUGUGAUGCUUGUCAUGGGGUAGCCUAGCA
rnacentral:lncRNA from 1 species